rnacentral:misc_RNA from 1 species
GAUGAAGAACGUAGUGAAAUGCGAUAAGUAAUGUGAAUUGCAGAAUUCAGUGAAUCAUCGAAUCUUUGAACGCACAUUGCGCCCGUCAGUAUUCUGGCGGGCAUGCCUGUUCGAGCGUCAUUACGCCCCUCAAGUCCCCUGUGGACUUGGUGUUGGGGAUCGGCGAGGCUGGUUUUCCAGCACAGCCGUCCCUUAAAUUAAUUGGCGGUCUCGCCGUGGCCCUCCUCUGCGCAGUAGUAAAACACUCGCAACAGGAGCCCGGCGCGAUCCACUGCCGUAAAACCCCCCAACUUUUUAUAGUUGACCUCGAAUCAGGUAGGACUACCCGCUGAACUUAAGCAUAUCAAUAAGCGGAGGA